UUUUUAUGAGAGUUUGAUCCUGGCUCAGGACGAACGCUGGCGGCGUGCCUAAUACAUGCAAGUCGAACGCUUCUUUUUCCACCGGAGCUUGCUCCACCGGAAAAAGAGGAGUGGCGAACGGGUGAGUAACACGUGGGUAACCUGCCCAUCAGAAGGGGAUAACACUUGGAAACAGGUGCUAAUACCGUAUAACAAUCGAAACCGCAUGGUUUUGAUUUGAAAGGCGCUUUCGGGUGUCGCUGAUGGAUGGACCCGCGGUGCAUUAGCUAGUUGGUGAGGUAACGGCUCACCAAGGCCACGAUGCAUAGCCGACCUGAGAGGGUGAUCGGCCACAUUGGGACUGAGACACGGCCCAAACUCCUACGGGAGGCAGCAGUAGGGAAUCUUCGGCAAUGGACGAAAGUCUGACCGAGCAACGCCGCGUGAGUGAAGAAGGUUUUCGGAUCGUAAAACUCUGUUGUUAGAGAAGAACAAGGAUGAGAGUAACUGUUCAUCCCUUGACGGUAUCUAACCAGAAAGCCACGGCUAACUACGUGCCAGCAGCCGCGGUAAUACGUAGGUGGCAAGCGUUGUCCGGAUUUAUUGGGCGUAAAGCGAGCGCAGGCGGUUUCUUAAGUCUGAUGUGAAAGCCCCCGGCUCAACCGGGGAGGGUCAUUGGAAACUGGGAGACUUGAGUGCAGAAGAGGAGAGUGGAAUUCCAUGUGUAGCGGUGAAAUGCGUAGAUAUAUGGAGGAACACCAGUGGCGAAGGCGGCUCUCUGGUCUGUAACUGACGCUGAGGCUCGAAAGCGUGGGGAGCAAACAGGAUUAGAUACCCUGGUAGUCCACGCCGUAAACGAUGAGUGCUAAGUGUUGGAGGGUUUCCGCCCUUCAGUGCUGCAGCUAACGCAUUAAGCACUCCGCCUGGGGAGUACGACCGCAAGGUUGAAACUCAAAGGAAUUGACGGGGGCCCGCACAAGCGGUGGAGCAUGUGGUUUAAUUCGAAGCAACGCGAAGAACCUUACCAGGUCUUGACAUCCUUUGACCACUCUAGAGAUAGAGCUUCCCCUUCGGGGGCAAAGUGACAGGUGGUGCAUGGUUGUCGUCAGCUCGUGUCGUGAGAUGUUGGGUUAAGUCCCGCAACGAGCGCAACCCUUAUUGUUAGUUGCCAUCAUUCAGUUGGGCACUCUAGCAAGACUGCCGGUGACAAACCGGAGGAAGGUGGGGAUGACGUCAAAUCAUCAUGCCCCUUAU
rnacentral:rRNA from 2 species